CGAUAAAAGUGACGGAGCGACGUAGUUGCUAGGUACUGACGGAAUAGUACGUUGAGCAUAGCCUUCGGGCGAAGCGAAGCAAUGAAAUUACUUCCAAGAAAAGCGAGUAUAGAGUCCCGUACCGCAAACCGACACAGGUAGUCAAGGAGAGAAUCCUGAGGCGCUCGAGUGAUCCGUGGCUAAGGAACUAGGCAAAAUCACCCCGUAACUUCGGGAGAAGGGGACCCCGGUGCAAACCGGGGCGCAGAGAAAUGGCCCAGGCGACUGUUUAUCAAAAACACAGGGCUAUGCUAAAUCGAAAGAUGACGUAUAUGGCCUGACACCUGCCCGGUGCUGGAAGGUUAAGAGGGGAUGUUAUUCGCAAGAAGAAGCAUUGAAUUGAAGCCCCAGUAAACGGCGGCCGUAACAAUAACGGUCCUAAGGUAGCGAAAUUCCUUGUCGGGUAAGUUCCGACCUGCACGAAUGGUGUAACGAUCUGGGCACUGUCUCAGCCACGAGCUCGGUGAAAUUGUAGUAGCGGUGAAGAUGCCGCUUACCCGCAACGGGAC
rnacentral:rRNA from 1 species